UACGAAGGGGGCUAGCGUUGCUCGGAAUCACUGGGCGUAAAGGGUGCGUAGGCGGGUCUUAAGUCAGGGGUGAAAUCCUGGAGCUCAACUCCAGAACUGCCUUUGAUACUGAAGAUCUUGAGUUCGGGAGAGGUGAGUGGAACUGCGAGUGUAGAGGUGAAAAUUCGUAGAUAUUCGCAAGAACACCAGUGGCGAAGGCGGCUCACUGGCCCGAUACUGACGCUGAGGCACGAAAGCGUGGGGAGCAAA
rnacentral:rRNA from 1 species